rnacentral:rRNA from 1 species
GACGAACGCUGGCGGCGUGCUUAACACAUGCAAGUCGAACGGAAAGGCCCUGCUUUUGUGGGGUGCUCGAGUGGCGAACGGGUGAGUAACACGUGAGUAACCUGCCCUUGACUUUGGGAUAACUUCAGGAAACUGGGGCUAAUACCGGAUAGGAGCUCCUGCUGCAUGGUGUGGGUUGGAAAGUUUCGGCGGUUGGGGAUGGACUCGCGGCUUAUCAGCUUGUUGGUGGGGUAGUGGCUUUCCAAGGCUUCGACGGGUAGCCGGCCUGAGAGGGUGAACGGCGACAUGGGGACUGAGAUAGGGAGCAGACUCCUACGGGAGGCAGCAGUGGAGAAUAUUGCACAAUGGGCGGAAGCCUGAGACAGCAGCGCCGCGUGCGGGAUGACGGCCUUCGGGUGGUAAACCGCUUUCGCCUGUGACGAAGCGUGAGUGACGGUAAUGGGUAAGGAAGCACCGGCUAACUACGUG